GAUGAAGAACGCAGCAAAAUGCGAUACUUGGUGUGAAUUGCAGAAUCCCGUGAACCAUCGAGUUUUUGAACGCAAGUUGCGCCCGAAGCCUUUUGGCCGAGGGCACGUCUGCCUGGGCGUCACGCAUCGCGUCGCCCCCCACAAUUCUCCGUAAAGGGAACGUGUGUUUUGGGGGCGGAUAUUGGUCUCCCGUGCUCAUGGCGUGGUUGGCCGAAAUAGGAGUCCUUUCGAUGGACGCACGAACUAGUGGUGGUCGUAAAAACCCUCGUCUUUUGUUUCGUGCUGUUGCUCGCAAGGUAAACUCUUUAAAAACCCCGAUGUGUCAUCUCUUGACGACGCUUCGACCGCGACCCCAGGUCAGGCGGGACUACCCGCUGAGUUUAAGCAUAUCAAUAAGCGGAGGA
rnacentral:misc_RNA from 1 species